AAUGACGGUGCCAGCGAAUCUAGAAACCUGACCCAAGAGUGUUAGGCAAUCUGUUUCAUCACCGUCGUGAAUAGAAUCGGGGAUUGCGAUUAUCCCCCGUGAAC
rnacentral:rRNA from 11 species